UAGGGAAUAUUGGACAAUGGGGGCAACCCUGAUCCAGCCAUGCCGCGUGAGUGGAGAAGGCCCUCGGGUUGUAAAGCUCUUUUGUCCGGAAAGAAAAGCUUCGGGUUAAUACCCCGGGGUUCUGACGGUACCGGAAGAAUAAGCACCGGCUAACUUCGUGCCAGCAGCCGCGGUAAUACGAAGGGUGCAAGCGUUACUCGGAAUUACUGGGCGUAAAGCGUGCGUAGGUGGUUGUUUAAGUCUGAUGUGAAAGCCCUGGGCUCAACCUGGGAAUGGCGUUGGAAACUGGGCAGCUAGAGUGCGGUAGAGGGUAGUGGAAUUCCCGGUGUAGCAGUGAAAUGCGUAGAGAUCGGGAGGAACAUCUGUGGCGAAGGCGACUGCCUGGACCAGCACUGACACUGAGGCACGAAAGCGUGGGGAGCAAACA
rnacentral:rRNA from 1 species